AUGAUAAGGAAAGAUAUUGUUCAGCCUCCUAAAAUGCCUUGUAUUCACUGGAAAAUGCUAAUGGGAUUAUAUAAAGGUUAUUUCAGCCUCCUUUCAAGACUGAAGACGUGGCAAAACAAUCAUGAUGCCCUUUGUUUAUGCCUUUUUAAUGACUGCUUUUACCUUCAGGUAUCUGAGACUUCUGCAUCUUUUCAAGGAAGUUCUUGGAGUGCUUUUUGGUGGAAACUUCCUGAGGAAUGUAAAUGUGCCUGUGAUUUUAGAGGUGUGGAGAGAGCUGGGGUGUUGGAGCACUCUGGCAGUCUGGCCAGGGUUUGCUGUGCAUGUUUGGAUGUCUCUGUGUAUUUUGCAGGUCAGGAGCUGCAUCCAGAGGUCCACCAAGCUCCUGUGCUGUGUGUGAGCAGCAGUGCUUGGGGCUCUGCUCUGUCCUUCCCUGCCUGUGGGGCUGUGCCAGGCUGCAGGAGGAGCUCAGUGCGUGGCACAGCCCUUCUGCAGCCUCCAGCGCAGAGGGACCUUUGCUACACUGCAGCUGUGAAUCUCUGGGAAAUGCUGCUGAUUCCUGGUAGGCUGCAAUGAGAGUGCUGAGUGCAUUUCUCUGCUGCACUGGCAUGAGUCAAUACGAGUUCAACCUUUGGAAAAUUGUUUCUUGAAGGCCAGAGACAUUUGUUUGUCCUACAGUUAAACAUCUUUUGCUGACACAUCAGAGCCACCCCAGCCCAUCGCUCAGUGUCCUGAGUGACAGCCCAGCUUAACUGAGGCCCCAUGGAUGCCUAACAGGAUAAAAAAGGACAUGAAAUGCUCUAAUGUCUGCAGUUAAUGGGGUCAAAGGAGGCCCACAAUGGAAAACUUCAUUUGCAGAUGACUUUUGACUGUGCCAUUACAGUGCUUUCUCAGCAUCGUCUGUCAUGCUUUUAAGGCAUAAAAAGAAUUUUUUUCUUAACAAAUCUUACAAUUGUUUUCUUUUUUUUCCCCCCCCAUUCCUGAAAAGCCCAUUUGUCACACCCCCUUAUAUUUUUUAUCUUUUUUCCUUUCUCUCAAAGCUUGGUUUGAACAAAAAGUACUCAGAACCCUGCACUUCUUAUGACACCCUGUACACUUUUGGGGCUUGGAGCAACCUGAUCUAGUGGAAGGUGUCUCUGCCCA
rnacentral:lncRNA from 1 species